AAGAGUGGUUAAGAUGUAUAAAAACUAGAGCCAAAUACCCUCAAAGCUGUUAUACGCUCUCGAAGGUAAGAAGCCCAACUACGAAAGUGGCUCUAUCAUAUCUGAUUCCACGAAAGCUAGGGCACAAACUGGGAUUAGAUACCCCACUAUGCCUAGCCCUAAACAUUGACAGUUAAUUACACCCACUGUCCGCCUGGGAACUACGAGCACCAGCUUAAAACCCAAAGGACUUGGCGGUGCUUUAGACCCACCUAGAGGAGCCUGUUCUAGAACCGAUAAUCCCCGUUAAACCUCACCCUUCCUUGUCAUUUCCGCCUAUAUACCACCGUCGUCAGCUUACCCUGUGAAGGCCUAAUAGUAAGCGCAAUCGGCAAUGCCCAAAACGUCAGGUCGAGGUGUAGCGAAUGGAAGGGGAAGAAAUGGGCUACAUUUACUAACACAGUAAAUACGGAUGAUUACCCUGCAACGAGUAUCUGAAGGAGGAUUUAGCAGUAAGCAAAAAGCAGAGUGUUUUGCUGAAAUUGGCCCUGAAGCGUGCACACACCGCCCGUCACUCUCUCCGAACUAAAACUUUAAACAUAACUAAUAUGCUAUAAC
rnacentral:rRNA from 1 species